rnacentral:lncRNA from 1 species
GUUGUUCAGCUUGGAGAAGAAAAGGCUCUGAGGGAGCCUGAUAGCGGUCUUUCAGUAUCUUUGGGGAGCUACAGGAAAGAAGGGGACAGACUCUUUGGUAGGGUCUGUGGUGACAGAACAAGGGGGAAAUGGCUUCAAGCUUAAAGAGGGUAGAUUUAGGUUAGAUGUAAGGAAAAAGUCUUUUACGGUGAGGGUGGUGAAGCACUGGAACAGGUUACGUAGUGCCAUUGAAGGGCAAAAUCAGGUCCCUGAAGUAUAGAAAGAAGGGCUUCAUAGCAAGAAAAGAGAAAGCAGCUUCACAAAGUAGACAUAAGGAGCAAAUAGUUUAUGUAGAGAGUAUUAGAAAACAAGGGAUUCCAAGCACUUUCACAGGUGCUAGGUCCAGAAUAACAAGGAGAAUGAAGGCCAAAAAGAUAAGGACCGGAGAACAGCUCGAAAACAUUUGGCAGGGAGGUGAUUAGAUGUCUGAUGUGCAAGCUGAAACCAGUUUGGGGGAUGCCCCCCCCCUUCAGGGUCAGAAGUUUGCAGCGAGGAAGACUAUGAGCCUUCAUCAUCACGACCUACUACGCACACGCAAGGGGGGGAGGGACUGUAUGCUAAUGGGCUCUCGGGAAUGUAGUGAAUAUGUAUCCAAAUUCCUGAUUAUGUAUUAGUUUGACCUAUAUCUAUAGCACGAUUUCUUUGGACGGUGUGCAAGUUAGGUGGAACGAUCCCCCUUGUACCAGGGUGUACGCGCGUCACCAAUAAACACAUACCUGC